rnacentral:rRNA from 1 species
GACGAACGCUGGCGGCGUGCCUAAUACAUGCAAGUAGAACGCAGUUGCGAACGGGUGAGUAACGCGUAGGUAACUGCCUAUUAGAGGGGGAUAACUAUUGGAAACGAUAGCUAAUACCGCAUACUAGUAGAUGGACCUGCGUUGUAUUAGCUAGUAGGUAGGGGAAUGGCCUACCUAGGAAACGAUACAUAGCCGACCUUGGAGGGUGAUCGGCCACACUUGGACUGGGACACGGCCCAGACUCCUACGGGAGGCCACAGUAGGGAAACUUUGGAAAUUGGGGGAACCCUGACCGGGCAACGCCGGGUGGUGGAAGAAGGGUUUCGGGUCGUAAAGCUCUGUUGUUAAGGAAGCGGUACUUAACCAGAAAGGGACGGCUAACUACGUGCCAGCAGCCGCGGUAAUUC